CAGCCGCCGCGGGAACACGAAGGGUGCAAGCGUUAAUCGGAAUUACUGGGCGUAAAGCGUGCGUAGGCGGUUUGUUAAGUCUGUUGUGAAAUCCCCGGGCUCAACCUGGGAAUGGCAAUGGAUACUGGCAAGCUAGAGUGUGUCAGAGGAUGGUGGAAUUCCCGGUGUAGCGGUGAAAUGCGUAGAGAUCGGGAGGAACAUCAGUGGCGAAGGCGGCCAUCUGGGACAACACUGACGCUGAGGCACGAAAGCGUGGGGAGCAAACAGGAUUAGAUACCCCAGUAGUCCCUGUCUCUUAUAA
rnacentral:rRNA from 1 species